rnacentral:rRNA from 1 species
UACAUAGGGGUGCAAGCGUUGUCCGGAAUUAUUGGGCGUAAAGAGCUCGUAGGUCGUUUGUUACGUCGGAUGUGAAAACCUGAGGCUCAACCUCAGGCCUGCAUUCGAUACGGGCAAACUAGAGUUUGGUAGGGGAGACUGGAAUUCCUGGUGUAGCGGUGGAAUGCGCAGAUAUCAGGAGGAACACCAAUGGCGAAGGCAGGUCUCUGGGCCAAUACUGACACUGAGGAGCGAAAGUCUGGGGAGCGAACAGG